GCUACAGAUCUAUGCUAUCAAGUGUUUUACCACCAGUCGAAAAAAUACCAGUAGGUCAACACCCAUACAUUAUUCGCUUAUUGAAGGGUGUUUUCAAUUCAAGGCCUCCCAGGGUCAAACUACUUCCUGAAUGGAAUUUAGAUAAAAUACUUGAGAUGUUAAAGAAAAAGCCUUUUGAACCAAUGAAAAAGGCUGAACUCAACUCAAGUUUAUCACAUGGAAAACUGUAUUUUUAAUUGCUAUCACUACUUUCAGGCGUUGCAGUGAUAUACAGGCCUUACGUUUGGGAGAUGGAAAUAUAUCUGUACAUAGCAGAGGAGUUUAUUUUAUUAGAGAAGGAUUGUCAAAACAAGACCGUCCUGGACAUUUUGGUGCUAAGAUUUUUGUACCUGCCUUUGAGGCAGAAAAGCUUCUUGACCCUAAAAGGGCAUUAACUUACUAUUUAAAGAGCACUGACAAUUUUCGUGGUGAAAACAGACAAGAUAGUAAAUUGUUUUUAGCAAUUAGUAAUCCACAUAAGCCAAUUUCAAGUCAAACAAUUUCAUCAUGGAUUGUGAGUACCAUUCAGAUGGCAUAUAACGACAAAAAGAAAUCUGUUAAAGCUCAUUCGACAAGAGCUAUUGGUCCUUCUUGGGCUCUUUAUAAAGGUGCAUCAAUGAAGAACAUCAUGGAAGCUGCUGAUUGGAGCAGGGAAUCCACAUUCACCAAAUUUUACUUACGUCACAUAGACCCUC
rnacentral:lncRNA from 1 species